rnacentral:rRNA from 1 species
UACAGGGGGUGCAAACGUUGCUCGGAAUCAUUGGGCGUAAAGCGCACGUAGGCGGUUUGUUAUGUCGGAUGUGAAAGCCCUUGGCUCAACUGAGGAAGUGCAUCCGAAACUGGCAAGCUAGAGUACUAAAGAGGGUCGCGGAAUUCCCGGUGUAGAGGUGAAAUUCGUAGAUAUCGGGAGGAACACCAGUGGCGAAGGCGGCUCACUGGACUGGUAUUGACGCUGAGGCGCGAAAAGCUAGGGGAGCAAACGGGG